GUUUGAUAAAUAAAAAAAAUAAUUAACUAGUCAACCUAAUUUUUGUAAACAAAAAAAUAGCAACUCACAGAAUCAAGUCCCUCGUGCAGCUGUUGCUCGCUUUACGAUGAUGCAGAAGUAGAAGCUUCCUCUUGCCUUCUACGAGACAGAAGCGUUUUUAAUACCCCGAUCGAAAUAUAUGUCAAGACUAUAAUUGGUUUAUCACAUUAAUAUGUGCAACUAUCAAGAGGCAAAUUAAGCAACUCCUGCCGGAAACAAAUUGAAAAACUAGUGCAGCACCCUCAUAUUCUUUAGUUGUAAAAAAUUUGUAAGUAUAGACUGUAGGGCGUCAGAGUAUGCGACCCUGCGUCGCCCAACACUGGUAAAAACGCGCAAAACGGAUGUUUAUCGUUGGCGAACUAACCCGUAACUUAUGCCCUAAAUGAGGUAUCAAAUUAAUGGCUGUAAAGUCCUCUAUACGAAAAGUUAAUAUUACUUCAUGAAAGCCUGCCGGAAAGAGGUGACAGGCAAUUGAGCGCACUUUUGAAUAUCUUUUGUGUUAUUAUUACCUCAGGAAGUCAAUUCUACAAUAUAUUGGAAAACAAAUUCCUUUUAGUUGUCGAAAUCUAAGAUAUAUACGGGAAGAAAUGGAAUUGUUUCAGGAUAUUGUAGGAAAGCAAACAAUGGCAUUAUACGUAGGUUCUUACAAAGUAGCUAACUGAUGUAUGGAACUUACCUUGCGUAGGCCUAUCCACAGGUUAAAUCAGCACAGCUGCACUAGCAUGGAAUGAGAAGACACCCUGUAAUCUCCCCAUCAUUAGACGGAUUGGUCCCAGGAAGUCACCGUGGUGCCUGAGGAUUAACGAUGCGAAUAACCCCCAGGUUCGGGCCUAUCCAAAUCCAUAGGCGUUCAACUCGGUACUACUUCACGAAAUAAGCGCCUGCCGCGCAGCUCCCUAACCCACUAUGCAGGCUAUUAACCAACUGUCUCCUCGAAUCCGACAUCAACUGGCAGGGAAGGAAUCGAAAUUAAACUCGUGGGCACCACACCUCCGAGGUAACGGUAUAGGAAUUCCGAUGGGCAUUAACUACUCCGAAAUCCUCCUCGCUAGAUGAUAUCCGAUUUGCCGUAAACGCGGUGUCUCCGGACAUCCUUUCAGCCUCCUAGCCCGCCUGAGCUACUACGCUUUUCCCAUCUACUGUGCUUUUGCCUAGUGUGUGCAGCCCCCUAAUGGGUCAGACUGCACACCAGAUCCACGUACAGCUGUUCUGUCCAACAGGCCGUAAAGGGUCAACAUACCCUCGACUAUAUGACCCCACCUUAUGCACACUACUUUUCCAGAACUCUUAAAUCGCUUUGGGAAUGAGCAUAGAGAACCUCCCAGAGGACUACUGACUUUUUGGUGUUUGUCGCGGUUUCCAUCACAGAAGGUGUCGGUGAUCGCACCAGGAGAACCUCCAUUUCGGGGGACAAGUUACGUAUACAUAUGUCGACGGGGAUGGGCUCACCUACCGCGUCUGUGCUGAGUUUACACCGCGUUCGAAUAUCAGUUUCGUCGAUGACCGUAGGCUACUUCCCACUUGAAUUUUGCUUUCAGGUGCUUGGGGGUCAUGUAGCUUUGCCAUAACGUGCGUAUGAGCACUGAACCUCCCUCGAGGUGAGGGGAGUUCUCAUAUAGCAAGGUUGACUUUUCGGGUAAAGGUCAUAAAGAUAUUUAAUUUAAUUCCUCAUAUAGUACAUUACUAUAUAAACCGCCAAUAAUGGGACCGCGAGGUUACUAGUUAGAAUCGACUUUUCCGAUAGAUGACAUCAUGAUCAUUCAUGCGAUACCUUAUUUGGGACGCAACUCUAUGGUUAUAGUUUGCCAACAAUCAACAUGGCUGUGCAACAAGGUUAACCGGCGCAGGGUCGCAUAUUCUGACGCCAUACACUACUCUCUACACGUACAUGUAUUUUUUAUUACAAAAAAUCAUGGAUGUACUAGUUUUCCAAUUUCUUAAGUCAUUCCGAACAGGGUUGUCGUUUCAUGGUUCCGUGCAUUAAGAGGGGGGGGGGUCGCUUUUAUACCAGUGUUUUUAAUUAAAAAAAAUCGAAAUACAGGAAAUUAAACUCAUCCCAUUGCUUUUAUUUAUUCGACGUUCAACUGAAACACUAAUCAAAUUAAAAAUUAAGCACUGUAGCUGCAUCUGUGAUUCUAUGAUUAUUAUUGUCCAACAUGACAGUUAACAAAUAACAAUUUAUUUUAUAAGAACCAAACGCUAGCAAUUAUAUAUAUGUAUAUACACAUCAAUUAGUUUAAUUACCUGCUACAGGAGAGAGCAAAUAAAAAUUUAAUUUAUCCCUUUUUGAAAAAUUUUAUUUACUUAACAUGUAGAAAUACAGAACAUAUAUAACUGUACAACUUACCUUACAUUAAUUGCAAAUGAAUGCAUGUAGAAUUACAAAAAUAAUAAUUUUAAUAAACGUAUACAAAUAAAAUACUUUAUUUGAUUAUUAACAAGCAACUUCAUAUUAAUUUUCUCAAAAAAUCAAUGUUUUUGAGAAUCAGGUUUACUUGGUGUGAUUAAACCAGUCGAACACCCGCAUUAAGCUGAACAAUAGAAAAGAAAAAAUAAAAACAAUGCUAAAACACUACUAAAUCAAUAAAACAAUUUUAUUAUUGAUUAUGAGUAAUAAAUUAAAAUAAAUCUUAACAUGCGCUCCAAAAAAUAGAAAUAAAAUCAUCAGCAUCUUUCUUCUGUUGUCAAAUUUUAAGGGCAUAAACUAUUUAAAUCAAUACAAUUAUGCAAAGUUCAUCUUUUUUCAGUCCAUUGUAUACUAUUAUAAAAUACUUCUUGGUUGGGUAAGUCGUUUUUGUUGUA